UUAUCAAUAUUUACAGACCGCUCGGAGCGAGGGGAGGUCCCUAGCCUAGUGAGGGCCCGCUCCCUGCUGAAAGAUGCAGGUUUCCAGAGGCUGGAGACGAGGGUAAGAAUUGCCUAUUUUCUGUAUUAGUGAUUAAUUUUUAUCCAUAUGAAAUUAUAUUUCCAUUAAGUUAGCAAUCCAUUUUUUUAAAUUUUAUGCGGUGUGCUUUUCGGGAUUUAUUAAUAUAAAUCGAUAUUUAUUUUCGCAAAAUCAUUUGCAGCGCUUGGAGAAAAAGGUAAGAAUUGCAAUAUCAAUAUUUUACAGACUUCGCCGAGACCAAGGAAGUCCCGAGCCUGCUGCGGGCCCGCUCCCUUCUGAGAGAUAAAGGCCUGGAACGGCUCGAGACCAAAGUCGUUCAACGACUGAUGAGAGCCAUCUCCCUCGUGCCUCUCCUCUCCCUGGUGCACCACCAUAUGUCACCCUACACGCGCCGGUGACAGUGGUGGUGUAACAGCACCAAGCACAGCAACAACAGCAACAACGAGCAGUCUUUAGGCAGCCACACAGACUGAUGAGAGCCAUCUCCCUCGUGCCUCUCCUCUCCCUGGUGCACCACCAAGCACAGCAACAACAGCAACAACGAGCAGUCUUUAGGCAGCCACACAGACUGAUGAGAGCUAUCUCCCUCGUGCCUCUCCUCUCCCUGGUGCACCACCAUAUGUCACGCUACACGCGCCGGUGACAGUGGUGGUGUAACAGCACCAAGCACAGCAACAACGAGCAGUCUUUAGGCAGCCACACAGACUGAUGAGAGCCAUCUCCCUCGUGCCUCUCCUCUCCCUGGUGCACCACCAUAUGUCACGCUACACGCGCCGGUGCCAGUGGUGGUGUAACAGCACCAAGCACAGCAACAACAGCAACAACGAGCAGUCUUUAGGCAGCCACACAGACUGAUGAGAGCCAUCUCCCUCGUGCCUCUUCUCUCCCUGGUGCACCACCAUAUGUCACCCUACACGCGCCGGUGACAGUGGUGGUGUAACAGCACCGAGCACAGCAACAACAGCAACAACGAGCAGUCUUUAGGCAGCCACACAGACUGAUGAGAGCCAAUUUGUCUGCAAAACUCAGAGGAAGGGCCAUCGAAAUAAUUAGGUAUCUAAGAUUCAUACCUGACAAUAGCCUUCUCCAUCAUCAGUUUUUUAUUAAUUUGAUGAGAAAAUAAGGUAACUGCAAGGAGAGGAGUGCGAAGUAGCGAUAUGCCGUAUAUAUUUGUUUUUUAGUGAAAUUAAAGGGGGUGGAAUUUAUAGACGCGAGUUAUUUUCUGGGAAGAUAUAGUUUGCUCAUAGUUUUUCCAGUCAAUAUUUGUAUCUCUUGCUUAUUGUUUUCACUAUUUUAUAAGAUUUUUAACAUCAUGAAGAUUAAUUUUUAUUUUAUCAAUAUUUACAGACCGCUCGGAGCGAGGGGAGGUCCCUAGCCUAGAGAGGGCCCGCUCCCUGCUGAAAGAUGCCUGACAUUUUUGACCAUUUAUAGAGACCAAAAAAAAGAAAAAAGACACAGGUCCAUCGCAUAAAAGCGUGAAAUUCGCAGAGUGGCGUGCUUCUGAGUCGCACGAUUCAAAUGAGUCCUCAUCGCGUGUAAUUUUUAAUCUCCCUAAUGCGCACCAGACGCAGCGCAAGCCUAACGAGAUAAUGUGACCGAGAGGGGUUGACUUCAUAACAGGGUGGGGCCGCGUUAUUGUCGAGGGGUGAAAAAUUGGAAAGAUUGCUAAUGGAC
rnacentral:lncRNA from 1 species